CCCAACAGGAACACUAAAUUAAAAGUUCUUAAGGGUAUUAUGGCAAUAAGAGUAUUGAAGCUGAAGAUGGCCUUUGCAUUUGUAGCAGUGUUUCUUCAUCUCUUUCCAUUGAUCAAUUGCCUUCUUCAUCGGAGCCAAUUUCCUCAAGAUUUCCUCUUUGGAACUUCAACUUCAUCUUAUCAGAUUGAAGGGGCGUACUUAGAAGGCAACAAAGGUCUAAGCAAUUGGGAUGUUUUCUCUCACAUACCGGGAAAAAUUGCGGAUGGAAGCAAUGGAAAUGUUGCUGAUGACCAUUACCAUCGUUACAUGGAAGACAUUGAAUUGAUGCAUUCCCUUGGAGUGAAUUCCUACAGAUUUUCGAUAUCUUGGUCUAGAAUCCUCCCAAAAGGAAGAUUUGGUGAGAUUAAUAGGGCAGGAAUUGAAUUUUACAACAACCUCAUUGAUGCUCUCCUUCUCAAAGGGAUCCAACCAUUCGUUACACUAAACCAUUUCGAUAUUCCUCAAGAACUCGAAGACCGAUAUGGUGCAUGGUUAAGUUCUCAAAUUCAAGAAGAUUUUGAACAUUUCGCGGAAGUAUGUUUCAAGUCUUUUGGAGAUAGAGUAAAAUACUGGACAACCUUCAAUGAGCCAAACCUCAUGGUGAAACUCAGUUACCUCACUGGUUUAUACCCUCCCACCCAUUGUUCCAAACCAUAUGGCAAUUGCACGACGGGUGACUCCGCAAUCGAGCCAUACAUUGCAGCCCAUAAUAUCAUUUUGUCCCAUGCCACUGCGACCGAUAUUUAUAGGAGAAAAUAUCAGGCUAAACAAGGAGGUUCUAUUGGGAUCGUGGUGAGCGCCAUUUGGUAUGAACCGCUUAGAGAUACUCCGGCAGAUCGUUCGGCAGCUCAGCGGGCCCUCGCUUUCCACACUGCCUGGUUUUUAGAUCCUAUAAUUUAUGGAGAUUAUCCACCCGAAAUGCGUCAGAUAUUGGGGUCAAGAUUGCCAACAUUUUCAUCGAAUGACCGAAGAAAGCUACAAAAUAAAUUGGAUUUUAUUGGAAUUAAUCAUUAUUCAAGUCUCUACGCGCAAGACUGCAUGUUUUUUUCAUGCAACUCGGGUACACCUGAAGAAGACACAUACACAUUGCUCACCGGAGAAAAAGACGGUCGACUGAUUGGAAUGACGACUGGGAUGCCAACUUUAUACGUGGUACCAUGGGGUAUGGAAAAGAUUGUAACGUACAUCAAGGAAAGAUACAACAAUACACCCAUGUAUAUCACAGAAAAUGGGUACCCACAAGAUAGUAAAAAUGGUGUUUCCAAGAAAGAAUUGCUCAAUGACGUGGAGAGAGUAGAAUACUUGCGUAGCUAUGUGACUUCCCUAUCCAGUUCUAUGAGGUAUUCUAUUAGAAAUAGAUAGAAACAAUAACAUUUUCUUUUUGCGUACAAACCUUUUAUUUAUCAAUAUUAAACCACCACAUUCCUCUCACCAUGUGCAUCUAGUCAAGUGUGUGUAGAUUCAUCAUGCAAUGGAUGGCCUACUUGAAGAAUUUUGGCUCAAAGGCACACUGCAAUGCCGCUUCUGAAGACAGUUUACAUCUUGCAUUGGUAUAAUAGAGCUCUUGCAUACAGUCUCUAAGAUUCGGUCAGCCUAGACCCUUACAGAGACUGUUUGGUCCGAGUACCAAAUUAAUGUCUAUCAUAGGUUUGCAAUAUAAAUAAGAUAGACUAUUAUCUUUUAGCCUUACUCAAGAAACAUGAAUGACUCAAAGGAGAAAUAAUGAAAAAAAAAAAUCGGAGCAUUCUAAAUGGGCUAAAGUUUGGGUAUAUAUAGGCUUUAAGUGAUUUUUGGUGUAAAGUCGCAUAGAUUAAUAAUUAUGAUAUAUAAAUGGAAUUAAUGUAUGGAUCCUUCCAUACAUCUUUUGAUGGAUAAUGUAUGUAUCAUUAUGAUAUACAUAUAGUUUUAUAGAGAGUAUGUGUAUGUACAAUUAAUUACAACACAAAAUAUAUUUGUAGACUAAAUUCUAAACACAUGCAACAAUGCUAUUAUCAUGCUUUCAGGAAAGGAGCUGAUGUGAGAGGCUACUUCACAUGGUCUCUAAUUGACAAUUUUGAAUGGGCAUUCGGGUAUACGCUACGGUUCGGGCUUUAUCAUGUGGACUACAAUACAUUGGAGAGAACUCCUAAACUAUCCGCCCGAUGGUA